CAUUCAUUUUCCUUUUUAAUGUUUUCCCUUUAUUUUUUACUUUUUUAGAUAAUUUAAUUUAAUUUAGAUGCUUUUGAACUUGAUAUAGGUUCAUGGAAGCUUAAGCCUCAGGUUUUGAGACCAUCAGCGGAUUAGACGAAGAAUUGAGGCAAGGUUCAUGGAAGCUUAAGCCUCAGGUUUUGAGAAAAUCGGCAGAUUAGACGAAGAAUUGAGGCAAGGUAUAGCAAAAAACAAGAAGCUUGGAGCUUCGACAUAGCAUUUUGGCACCCUUGCACGCGAGCAGCGAUGCCCUAGCAUGGGAAGUGGUCAAGCUUCGUUGGCGCCCCCACGCCGCCUGGCACUCCAAUGCCAAAGGCCACACACCCCUAUGGCAAUAUCGGCACUUUAGUGUCGAUUCCCUCCGUUUUGGCUCACAAUUCCAUGUUUUAAUCGUGUCUGAAGGACAUUUUGGUCAUUUAUGAUUUUUAUGAUCUAAAUCAAGUUUAACUAACCUAAUUUAAGUUGAACAAAUAUUAUAAAUAUCCGAUUUUGAUAGGAAGUUAGGACUUUUGGUUGUUUAGAGACUGAAUAGUUGCGUUGUUUACUUUGUGUUCUUUCAAUUUUAUUUCUUACUAAAUCCCCUUUUUUAGUCAAAGAUUUUAUCGAAGUUUGAUUUAAUGAAUUUGUGAGACUUAUUCAUGCUUUAA